GCCCGGGUGGUCUAGUGGUAUGAUUCUCGCUUAGUAUGUCUCCAUUAUCUAUCAUCCGCAUUCACAUUUACAAUUUACUAACAACAACUCCAGGGGUUCCAACCCAAGCAUAUCUGCGAGAGGUCCCGCGUUCGAUCCGCGGCUCGGGCC